rnacentral:rRNA from 1 species
GUCUAUGGCCAUGCCACCCUGAACAAGCCCUAUCCAGUCUGAUCUCAGAAGCUAAGCAGGAUCGGUUCUGGUUAGUACUUGGAUGGGAGACCACUUAGGAAGACCAGGUGCCGUAGGCG